UACGGAGGGGGCUAGCGUUGUUCGGAAUUACUGGGCGUAAAGCGCACGUAGGCGGCUUUGUAAGUUAGAGGUGAAAGCCCAGGGCUCAACCCUGGAAUUGCCUUUAAGACUGCAUCGCUUGAACAUCGGAGAGGUAAGUGGAAUUCCGAGUGUAGAGGUGAAAAUUCGUAGAUAUUCGGAAGAACACCAGUGGCGAAGGCGGCUCACUGGCCCGGAACUGACGCUGAGACGACGAAGCGUGGGGAGCAAAACAGG
rnacentral:rRNA from 1 species